UGUCUCCAACCCCUAAACUCCACACAGAAUCUCCUCCCACUGCCUGUGGCCCCCACACUCCUCCAGGGGGCCCCCACCCCUGCCUGUGAGCCCCAUGCUCUUCCAGGGACCACCUACCCCCUGCCUGUGGCACCAACCCCCAACUGUCUCCUACCCCUAAAUUCCACACAGGGACCCCCCCACUCCCUGCUUGUGAUCCCCUCCCUCCACUCAGAAACCCCCAUUGCCUGCCUGUGAUCCCCACUCCCCUAAUGUCUUCAACCCCCACACCCCGCCUAGAGCCCAACACUUUCCCCUGUAUCCCUCCUAUCUGACCCCAGCCCCCACCCGGCCCCCACCCAGAGCACUGUGGCCCCACAACUGCCUUCUGCCCAACAGCCACACAACCUUCCAGCCCCCAUCCUGUGCUGGAAGAGCAGCUGCACAUUCACCACGCUGCCCCUGCUGGCGGCUCGCCCAAUCCACCCAGGGCCUGCCGCACUCUGCCAGCUCAGGUGCUUCUGGGAGUUUCCCAGGAACGACAUCUCCCAGGGACAAGGUCGCCUGGCUAGGUCACUGUCUGGAGGAAGAGCUGGUCAGCCCAGCAGCCAGAGAAUGAAAAGUUACAGUUCUGCGAUCACCAGGAUCUCACCAUCUUGCCGCUUGGGGCUGCAAAAAACCUGGAGCUGGCCCUGGUUGUGAAU